rnacentral:tRNA from 1 species
UCCGUCGUAGUCUAGCUGGUCAGGAUACUCGGCUCUCACCCGAGAGACCCAGGUUCUACUUCCGGCAACGGGC